rnacentral:rRNA from 1 species
ACCUUUUGCAUCAUGAUUUAGCUAGAAAAACUAGGCAAAAAGAUCUUUAGUCUACCAUCCCGAAACUAAACGAGCUACUCCGAAGCAGCAUAACUAGAGCCAACCCGUCUCUGUGGCAAAAGAGUGGGAAGACUUCCGAGUAGCGGUGACAAACCUACCGAGUUUAGUGAUAGCUGGUUACCCAAGAAAAGAACCUAAGUUCUGCAUUAAUUUUUCCCAAAUUAAAUAAGAACUUCUUACCAAAAUAUAAUAUAAAAAUUAAUAGUUAUUUAGAAGAGGU